rnacentral:misc_RNA from 1 species
UAGUGAAUGUGUCACAUCAGCUACCUGCAUCAAAACAUCUAGCAUUUAGGUCAACCAGAUUAUUGCACCAAAAUUGAAGGAUUGAAACAUAUUAAAAGAAUAAUCCAAAAGAACCAUGUUAAUCUUGGAAUUUAAUUAUUCACAAUUGGAAAAAGCAGUGACUUUUGAAUUUUCUCUUUAUAUGAAGGAUUAUUUUCCAGCAAAUUACAUGAUAACUUCAUCAGCUCGCUCAUUUGCAUAUCAUCCGGUUAAUGAUGCAGCUCUGAUAAGGCCUUAGGAACCUGUCCUCUUGGACAGAGUAUCAAAUCACCUCCUUGGCUCAUAAGCAAGGAUUUUAAAAACAUGAAAACAAAACAGUCAAAGCUUUGGAGACUUGUAGCUGGUUCUGUUAAAGUAAUUAAAAGAAAGGAGUUAUUUACAUUAUCAUCUUGAAGUAUAGCUAUAAUAGCCAAUUAUUCAUCACUGCUUUUCACAUUGUGGAGAUCCUAGGGUGACACUACUAACUCUUUCUUCCAGUUUUUUUUGGUCUAAUGGACUAACUAAUCUUCAAUUUUAGUGAUUAUUACAAUAACAUCCACUUAGUUUAACUUUAUCAAAGCAGGUCACGACUCACAAACUUUUUAUUAAUAAUCAAUUAUCUCCUCUUCUAGAAUUCUGUCCAACGUUACCAUUAACUGGAUUGAAAUGGACACCAAGGAUGACCUUUGGGGCAAAUAUUCCAUUGAAAAGAAGUUAAUAUGGAAUAGAUUCCACCUCCUAAAGCUUAUGUGGCUGCAAAGUUUAAUGUGCCACUACCACAGAAUCUCCACAGCCAAAAGAUAUUAGCUCUAGCAAUGGAGUCUAUGCCACAUCAGCUUCUUCUUAGCUUAGCGUCUACAUCAACAAGUUAAUGUCAAUUUUCAAUGGCAGUCAAACAAAGGAUAUGAUUGUAUCACCACUUAAAGUGCAUGAUCUGAAUCGAUAAUUAAAAGAAUUAGAUAUAAAUGUAACAGUGACAAAGUUAUAAUUUACUUUGCCAUUAGGCCUUUUUUAUCUUUAGGAAGAAGAUGGAGAAGAGGAAG